rnacentral:rRNA from 1 species
AUUGAACGCUGGCGGCAUGCCUUACACAUGCAAGUCGAACGGUAACGCGGGGCAACCUGGCGACGAGUGGCGAACGGGUGAGUAACGCAUCGGAACGUGCCCAGUCGUGGGGGAUAACGCAGCGAAAGCUGUGCUAAUACCGCAUACGAUCUAUGGAUGAAAGCGGGGGACCGUAAGGCCUCGCGCGAUUGGAGCGGCCGAUGUCAGAUUAGCUAGUUGGUGGGGUAAAGGCCCACCAAGGCGACGAUCUGUAGCUGGUCUGAGAGGACGACCAGCCACACUGGAACUGAGACACGGUCCAGACUCCUACGGGAGGCAGCAGUGGGGAAUUUUGGACAAUGGGCGCAAGCCUGAUCCAGCAAUGCCGCGUGCAGGAAGAAGGCCUUCGGGUUGUAAACUGCUUUUGUACGGAACGAAACGGUCUGGGCUAAUACCCCGGGCUAAUGACGGUACCGUAAGAAUAAGCACCGGCUAACUACGUG